rnacentral:rRNA from 1 species
GACGAACGCUGGCGGCGUGCUUAACACAUGCAAGUCGAACGGAAAGGCCCUGCUUGCAGGGUACUCGAGUGGCGAACGGGUGAGUAACACGUGGGUGAUCUGCCCCGCACUUCGGGAUAAGCCUGGGAAACUGGGUUUAAUACCGGAUAGGAGCCAUUUUUAGUGUGAUGGUUGGAAAGUUUUUUCGGUGUAGGAUGAGCUCGCGGCCUAUCAGCUUGUUGGUGGGGUAAUGGCCUACCAAGGCGGCGACGGGUAGCCGGCCUGAGAGGGUGGACGGCCACAUUGGGGCUGGGGUACGGCCCAGACUCCUACGGGGGGCAGGAGUGGGGAAUAUUGCACAAUGGGGGCAAGCCUGAUGCAGCGACGCCGCGGGGGGGAUGACGGCCUUCGGGUUGUAAACUCCUUUCGCUAGGGACGAAGCUUUUUGUGACGGUACCUAGAUAAGAAGCACCGGCUAACUACGUG